GAUGAACGCUGGCGGCGUGCCUAAUACAUGCAAGUCGAGCGAACAGACGAUGAGCUUGCUCCUCUGACGUUAGCGGCGGACGGGUGAGUAACACGUGGAUAACCUACCUAUAAGACUGGGAUAACUUCGGGAAACCGGUGCUAAUACCGGAUAAUAUAUUGAACCGCAUGGUUCAAUAGUUAAAGACGGUUUUGCUGUCACUUAUAGAUGGAUCCGCGCUGCAUUAGCUAGUUGGAAGGUAACGGCUUACCAAGGCAACGAUGCGUAGCCGACCUGAGAGGGUGAUCGGCCACACUGGAACUGAGACACGGUCCAGACUCCUACGGGAGGCAGCAGUAGGGAAUCUUCCGCAAUGGGCGAAAGCCUGACGGAGCAACGCCGCGUGAGUGAUGAAGGUCUUCGGAUCGUAAAACUCUGUUAUUAGGGAAGAACAAAUGUGUAAGUAACUAUGCACGUCUUGACGGUACCUAAUCAGAAAGCCACGGCUAACUACGUG
rnacentral:rRNA from 1 species